GCGAGUCCGGACUUCUCCCGCCCAGAACUUGGUGACUCUCUCUGACUGAGCCGACUCGCUCUCUCUGUGCUCGUCUGAGUCGCAACUCGGUCGCCGAAAUGGAGGAGGAAAUGGACGAAACCGAAGCUCUACCUCAGGUGUACAUGGCAUGCAUUCGACAAGGUCAUCGAGUGGGAGUUUCUUAUUAUGAUUCCAGUAUUCGCCAACUUCACGUGAUGGAAGUUUGGGAAGAUGGCAGCAUGGACUUCCCCCUAAUUGAUAUGGUGAAAUAUCAAGCUAAGCCACUGAUCAUCUACACAAGCACAAAAAGCGAGGAAGCUUUCUUGUCUGCUUUACAACGAAGUGAUGGAACAACAGAGGCUUUUACUGUGAAGCUUGUGAAAAGUUCAGUAUUUAGCUAUGAGCAAGCAUGGCACAGAUUGAUAUACCUUCGAGUAACAGGAAUGGAUGAUGGGUUAGACAUCAAGGAGAGAAUUUGUUAUUUGAGUUCUAUGAUGGACAUGGGAAGUGAUGUUCAAGUUCGUACCAGUGGAGGCCUUCUUGCCAUAUUAGAGAAUGAAAGGAUUGUAGACACACUUGAACAAAUGGAAUGCGGCAAUGCAUCUAUUGCAAUUGAUUCUGUUAUAGAAGUUUCAUUGUAUCUUUUUAUGUGUCUUUCUCAUGAGGCGUUGCAGAUAUUCCAAACAGAUAAGCAUCCUAGCCAUAUGGGCAUUGGUAGAGCAAAAGAAGGGUUUUCUGUAUUUGGCAUGUUGAAUAAGUGUGUAACUCCUAUUGGGAGGCGCCUCUUGAGGAACUGGUUCCUAAGGCCAAUAAUUGACCUUGAAAUUUUGAACAGUCGUCUUGAUACCAUAUCAUUCUUUAUAUCUUCAGAAGAACUAAUUAUGUCUUUACGGUCAACUCUGAAAUCUGUUAAGGAUAUUCCUCACAUACUCAAGAAAUUCAACUCCCCAAGCUCCGUAUGUACCAGUACCGAUUGGACAGCUUUUUUAAAGAGUGUUUGCUCACUCUUGCACGUGAACAAGAUAUUUGAAGUGGGUGUUUCUGAGAGUCUUCAAGAGCAUGCCAAGUACCUGAAUUUGGACAUUUUUGAGAAGGCUGCUUCAUGCAUUACAACUGAGCUUGCUUAUGUAUAUGAAUUGGUAAUUGGUGUUCUUGACGUAAACAGAAGUAAAGAGAAGGGAUAUGAGACAAUUGUAAAAGAUGACUUCUGUACUGAGUUAGAUGAGCUGAGGCAAAUAUAUGAGGAAUUGCCCGAAUUUCUGGAAGAGGUUUCAAAGAUGGAACUUGGAAGACUUCCUCAGCUGUGCAAAGACAAGCUUGUUCCUUGUAUCGUGUAUAUACACCAGAUAGGAUACUUGAUGUGCAUUUUUGAAGAAAAACUUGAUGAAGCUACCCUGGAGACACUUCAAGAUUUUGAGUUUGCUUUCUCUGAUGCAGAAGGAGAAACAAAAAGAUUCUUUUAUCGUACUCCAAAGACACAAGAGUUGGAUAAUCUUCUGGGAGAUAUCUAUCAUAAAAUACUAGAUAUGGAGAGGGCGAUCACUCGAGAUCUGGUGUCACAUAUACUUCUAUUUUCAACGCAUCUGCUUAAAGCUGUAAAUUUUGCAGCUGAACUUGAUUGCUUUUUGUCAUUGGCGCUGGUUGCCCGUCAAAACAAUUAUGUAAGGCCUACUUUGACCACGGACUGCUUGCUUGAUAUACAAAAUGGAAGACAUGUUUUGCAGGAAAUGACGGUAGACACUUUUGUUCCCAAUGAUACAAAGAUUCAAAAUGAUGGGAGAAUUAAUAUCAUCACUGGUCCCAACUAUUCAGGGAAAAGCAUCUACAUAAAGCAGGUAGCUUUGAUUGUUUUCCUAGCCCAUAUAGGAAGUUUUGUUCCGGCAGAUGCUGCAACUGUGGGUUUGACUGAUAGAAUAUUCUGCGCAAUGGGAAGCAAGCUCAUGGCUGCAGAACAAUCAACGUUCAUGAUUGAUCUGCAUCAAGUAGGGAUGAUGCUAAGGCAGGCAACUUCACGGUCUUUGUGUCUCUUGGAUGAAUUUGGUAAAGGUACUCUUACAGAAGAUGGCGUUGGUCUGCUUGGUGGAACCAUAAACUACUUGGUGUCCUAUGAUGACCCCCCAAAGGUUCUAGUGUGCACACAUUUGACUGAGUUAUUCAGCGAGAGUUGCUUACCUAAAUCCAAGAAGAUCACAUUUUACACUAUGAGUGUGCUGAGGCCUGAUAACUCAACAGAUAUUGAGGAUAUUGUUUUCCUAUAUAGGUUAGUUCCUGGGCAUGCACUACGUGGUUAUGGUAAGUAUAUAUACUUACACACACCAAAAUAUUCAAAGUGUGGAUGUCCUCACUGCAUAGUUAAGCUGUUAAGGCACUGAACGUAGUCAUUUCAUUAGGCACUUACUAUGUGUAAACAGUUGGACAAAUAUCUAGCAUCCUAAAAAAUGAUCAAGUGCUGUCUAAAUAUGAAAUAGUAACCUGAUAAGUGUCUUAGUGCUCUUUUAUACAUGCACACACACAGACAUGUCACUGACACAUAUCUAUGUAAGUUGAGAGUGCCUAUUGGGUAUUGUUAUUUGGAAUCACAGUCUGUUUACAAUUUUACAUCCUGCAGGUCUUCAUUGUGCUCUACUUGCUGGUGUCCCAGAGGAAGUUAUCAAGAGAGCAGCAUUUGUAUUGGAAGCGAUUGGAAAUAAUCAGCAUGUCGAGCGAUUGUGCAAUGAGAAUUUAUCAGUUCAGGAUCAGCAAUACCAGACAGUAGUGGAAAAAAUGUUGGCAUUUGAUGUUCACAAUGGCGAUUUAGGCCUGUUCUUUCAGGACUUAUUUUCUCCUGCGUCCUAGAAAAGCACCAGAGGUAACUUUGCGAAUAUGACGUUGUGAACUCAGAAAGGUUGCCAGUUGGAUCUGGAUGGCAAUGCGCAAGGCAUUAUCUCCAUCAUCAGUUGAUGAUAACCAGACCUUCACUGAUCCAUUCAUUAGAGAUGUUGAUGAAUGUAUAGGUCACACAAUUCGUAUCGUAUAUUUCCUUUUAUGUAAAUAGUUCAAUUUAGAUUCUAAAUCAUGCACGGUACAUGAUUGUUGAUUUUCAAUUCUGGCUCUUAUUUUUGACAUAUUAAAAGAGAACGAUAAUACGGUUUCUAACUGCGUGCCCUUUGAUUUUGUAAUGGUACACAAAUCAUGUCGUUCUUCCUCUCUUUACUGCACACACUAAUUGCAUAUGAAUUUCACAAUGCAACCAAAAAUACUCUCCCAUUAAUCAAGGGGUUCCCGAGCCCGAGCUUUUAGAGAAAAGCUAACUCCUUCACCUUUCAUUGGGACUCUGUAUUUCGAGCCCUCAAAUAGUUCAUCCAUUAUGAUUUUGUGAGUUGCCUCUGUAGGAUGGACUCGAUCCCAGAAGACAUGACCCCCUCUGUUGGAGCAGUAAGACGAAAAGGGCAGACAAGCAGCCUGAGCGUUGAGAUAACCUGGACCACAACAUUCAGCUUGAAUCUCUUUAAAUCCUGAAAUGAAAUAGCAGAUUGAGUAGGAUUUUGUUUUCUCGUGAGAUAUUUGACAUGUUAUAUUGCCAAAUUGACUAAUGAUUUAGAUUGACAGUCUCAUAACAUGACAUGCUGGACUCCGACUAAAAGUAGACUUCCGCCUAGAAUAAAGCAAAUUAAGAAAAUAUGAAGAUACCAUAAGAAGCUGGGUUUUGAACGAUGUUACUGAACAUGCUUCAAGUGUCGAAGUAGUAGUUUAUGCCCGGUACUGGUUUUAAUGCCUCCAUCAUGAUUUAAGGGCUUUACUACACAAUUCAGACACCGAGUUCAUUUCUUCAUUGCACUCUCCUGUUAGAUCAUUUCUUCGUAAUGGACACAUCCAAUUGGUCCAGUCCCAAUGACUACGAAUUGGACAUGAGUAAAGCCUAUGAUCGGGUUGAAUGGAGAUUCAUUGAAGCUGUAAUGACUAGUAUG